AACGAACGCUGGCGGCAUGCCUAACACAUGCAAGUCGAACGAGACCUUCGGGUCUAGUGGCGCACGGGUGCGUAACGCGUGGGAACCUGCCCUUAGGUUCGGAAUAACUCCCCGAAAGGGGUGCUAAUACCGGAUAAUGUCUUCGGACCAAAGAUUUAUCGCCUUUGGAUGGGCCCGCGUUGGAUUAGCUAGUUGGUAGGGUAAAAGCCUACCAAGGCGACGAUCCAUAGCUGGUCUGAGAGGAUGAUCAGCCACACUGGGACUGAGACACGGCCCAGACUCCUACGGGAAGCAGCAGUGGGGAAUAUUGGACAAUGGGCGAAAGCCUGAUCCAGCAAUGCCGCGUGAGUGAUGAAGGCCUUAGGGUUGUAAAGCUCUUUUACCUGGGAUGAUAAUGACAGUACCGGGAGAAUAAGCUCCGGCCAACUCCGUG
rnacentral:rRNA from 1 species